rnacentral:rRNA from 1 species
UACGUAGGGGGCAAGCGUUGUCCGGAUUUAUUGGGCGUAAAGAGCGUGUAGGCGGCCAGGUAGGUCCGUUGUGAAAACUCGAGGCUCAACCUCGAGACGCCGAUGGAAACCAUCUGGCUAGAGUCCGGAAGAGGAGAGUGGAAUUCCCGGUGUAGCGGUGAAAUGCGCAGAUAUCGGAAGGAACACCUGUGGCGAAAGCGGCUCACUGGACCAUUACUGACGCUGAUGCACGAAAGCUAGGGGAGCAAACAGG